rnacentral:lncRNA from 1 species
UACCUAUGACAUGACAGAUUAAUAUAUAUAAAUAUAAUGAAGUAAAUGUGCUAUCAAAAUGGGCUUUACACUUUGAGGACAUUACAUUAUACCUAUGACAUGACAGAUGAAUAUAUAUUUUUUGCGAUCCAUACUAUGCCAUGACAGUGUAUAGCUAUUUUGGUGAAAAUUAACCCUGACAAAAUGGAUGGAAGCCCGUUUGCUUGUAUGUGAAUGUGUAUGGUUUGCACCCAGGGUGGCAGAGUGCCAUUCUUUGCCCCUCACCCCUCUGGCAGUGACAUUCGUCCUGGAAGUUACCUGGACGAGCUGGUUCUGAGGUCGCAUCCGUCACCACAGCCUUCUCUACCUAAGGACAGAGAACAUGGAACAAGUGGACAUCCCCAUAGCAACCAAGGGUCAGAGAGCAGCUCACUGGAAAAUGCCUCCUCUUCCCAGAACACUGUGUGAGGGCGAAGGUCAUGUGGUUAGCAUCCUAACAUCAUAUAUCCACUUGAGAAAAAUCAUAUUUACCCUUUCUGUUGUGCAAUUAUACAGCACCAAAGACUUAGCUAAGUCACUGUUGACAUUUUUUACCUUGUUACACCUUGUAGUUCAUUAUGCACAGGGGUUUCAAUUCUCAUUGUACACACAAUAACAACCAUUGGAUAAAAGAACAACAACACAACAAUAAUCUGCUAUCAUUUCAGGGGGGGGGGGGUGACAUUUUUUUUACUUUUUACAGAAGCUACUUUUGUUUAAUUAUUUAAUUAAUUAUUUUUAACAGUCAUAUUUAUAGCAGUUUGUGAUAGUCAAAUAUAAUCUCAUAUUUGUAAAAAAAAAAAAUAUAUUGUCUUUAUCAGGAACAAUGUUUUCUUCCUCAUUCAGUUAAUUAGUCAGUUCAGUUGUAUUAUAUUCACAGCCAUGUUGCGGUUGUUCAUGAAAUAAAAUAUAUAACAAAAAAUCAAUGCUGUUGUCAUUACGUGUUCCUAAACAGCUGGUUUCGUGGAAAAGGCCUUUGUGAUUUGAUGCCGUUUUCUUUAGUGUAAAGCACACAUAAGAAGAAGUUCUCUUUGUAAAGCCU